rnacentral:misc_RNA from 1 species
AACGCAAAUGGCGCUGCUGGAUAUACUGGCAGCACGCCUCUCUCAGUAUCGGUUCAAAUCUCAACGCUCCCUUCCGAGGGAGGGUUGGACGAUGAGAGUCUGACUUAGUGUUAGUCUCUUGAAAUGCAUGGAGCGGCUUUUCUCUAGCACUCGUGACGUGACUGCUGACCUUUGGUCUUCUUACGUGGACGAGAUGAGGCGGCUGCGUGCGUGGCCUUCACAGCGAAGGCCACAAAGAGUUUCGACUCUUUACCCUCAAACUAUGAUCUGAGAUGAAGCGAGAGGACCCGCUGAAUUUAA